CGAAUCGAGUCGUAAAUUAGUAGGUACUAGUAGGCACCGAGACAAGAGAAGUAGUAGUAGUAAGGCCUUCCCUCAGAGGGAGGGUGUCAAAGUGAUGAAUGGUACAAACAGGUGACAUUUUGGAGUACAACAAGACGCACAAAAC
ensembl:ncRNA F25H8.25 ncRNA